UUUCUCUGCCCAAUAGCCGUAAGACUGUCUAUCUCAUGGUCUGCCGUAGAAGGCCAGUUCCAUUAACUUUGAGCAAUCUUGACUCUGCAUCCUUCGCUAAUUAGUGCUGUUUGGUGUCCAGAUCAGCAUCCAAGUUUUAGGACAAGAGAUUCCAUUCAAGAAGGAGAAUUCGACACACUGCCACGGGGACAAGGUGGACCCCACACUGGAGGUGGAGCCCACGCUGGAAGUUGCACCUCAGGACCUGUCCCUUCAGAAUUCAUCCUCAGCACCUGGGGAGCUACUGAGCAAUGGUGUGAAAGAGGAAUCAGACAUGGAGCCAGAAUUAGCUCUGGUUGCUUCCCAGCUUCCUGCCAGACCUGAGGAGAGGCCUGUUAGAGACCAAGAGGUGAGAACAGCACUUCUCCCAGAGCUGCAGGAGGUGAGUGGGGUCCUCAGCCUGCAUCCCUGGCCUAGGACGAUUGGUGGGACAGACUCAGAAGAGGAACAGAGGUGGAGCAUGGCUGUAUAGUAGUUGCAGUGGCUACUUCCCUGUGAGAGUUGAGUCCCUGCUUCUCUGGUCAGUCAUCUUGACAACGGAUAACAGAACCUGGCCUCUGGGAAGAGGUACAAGUUGCUUUGCCCACAUAUGAUGGUUUCUGAUUUUUUUUUUUCUUCAUUACUAUGAGCUCAUGCUAAGAAACGGCUAUUUUGUUUCCUAUUUUUUUCCUAGUAUUUUAUUUCCUAGUAUGAGCUGCCCACACAGGAGUCUGAUAGAAACUUUGAAUGGUUAUUUCUCAUGUGUGAAUAUUUUUCUCUGACAUCACAGGAGUAAUGUUGAUAGACUGCAUGUACCCAAAACAUAGUUUAGUGUGUUCUGGUGUAUGUAUACAGCCCUAUAAAACACAAGCACAAUCAAGAAUAAAUAUCUCUCUCACA